CGUUUCUUUUUCUAAAUGCUGGGCCCAAAUACACUACUUUACUUCUUUGCAUUUGCCCGAUUUCGAGCAACAUGUAGGCUAGGCCUACACUAGUUUAUUAUAAAUGAAGGUCCUAUAAUCUAAGCUUCUUACAAACAGAUUUGUAAACUUAAACUUUUCUGCCAUCCUUGUUGAAAAUAAUAACAUACCGUACUUUUAAACAAAAAAGCUUUUUAUAAAACACCAGACUUGUUAAACUAAUAUAAUAGUAAUAGAGGUUGAAGAGUUAAGCAUUUUUAUAAUGUGUUUCAGGUCAGUUAUCUUCGCACGGUUGGCGGGGCCAGUGUUGAGGACUCAACAAGACGGAUCCUUGUAAGACUAUUCAAAAAUGAGCUUGCGAGAGAAUUUAGUUGGGAAGGAAGAGGAGGAAAGAAGUGGAGUCUGCAGAACUCUGCAUCGGUGCAGUUGAUUUGCUGUGUAGUUCGUCAACAACACCCGUCCUCAUUCGAUCUCACAACGUUUGAGAAAAAAACCAGCGAAUGGUUACGCCAAGCAGGAACAAGGAUUUAUGUCAAAAAUAAAAAUUUAGGCCUACCGCAGAUGAUCAAUUAAAUAGUUUUUUCUUGACAUUU